ensembl:lncRNA flocculation protein FLO11-like
GCCUGAGGUUGUAUAAAUGUCCUGUGGAGUUGCAGUCCCGCACUCUUGGCCUCCCCACCUCUGCCAGCCUCCUGGGCUCUCCACCCAGCACCACCAGCAUCAUGCUCCGGCAAGCCCUUCUUCUCUCCACCUGCUUCGCUCUGGCUAUGACUUACCCUGCACUGCUUCAGGAAUUCAUUGCUGACUUCGAGUCAACCAUUGACAUAGAGUACACUGGCUUCGAGUCAACCAGUGGCCUAGAGUCAGCCACUGGCUCCACUUACCUGGAGUCAACCACUGUCCCUGCUGACCUGGAGUCAACAACUGUCCUAGAGUCAACCACAGGCCUCGAGUCAACAAUUGGCUUAGAGUCGACAACUGGCCUAGAGUCCACAGCUGGCCUAGAGUCCACAGCUGGCCCCAUUGACCUGGAGGCAACCACUGGCCCCACUGACCUGGAGUUGACAGUUGGCCUAGAGUUAACCACUGGCCCCACUGACUUGGAGUUGACCACUGGCCUCCAGUUAACCACUGGCCCCAUUGACCUGGAUUCAACCACUGGCCUAGAGUCAGCCACUGGCCGCACUAACCUGGAGUCAAUCACAGACCUAGAGUCAACCUCUGGCCUAGAGUUGACUACUGGCCCCACUGACCUGGAGUCGACCACUGGCCUACAGUCGACCACUGGCCUACAGUUGACCACUGGCCUAGAGGCAAUCAUUAGCCCCACUGACCUGGAGUCAACUACUGGCCUAGAGUCAGCCACUGGCCGAACUAACCUGGAGUCAGUCACAGACCUAGAGUCAACCUCUGGCCUAGAGUUGACUAUUGGCCCCACUGACCUGGAGUCGACCACUGGCCCACAGUCAACCACUGGCCUACAGUCAACUACUAGCCCCACUGACCUGGAGUCAACCACUCACCUACAGUCAACCAUUGGCUUAGAGUCAACCACUGGCCUAUCAGACUUGACCACUCACCAUGACUUCACUGAAGAUACAGAAACAACCACUGAAGUGUAUUUGGAGAACACACAGACUUUUGAAGGUGUCACUGCUGGUUAUUCUGAAGAGCCUGUGACUGAAGCAUAAGAUGACCCAGUAUCUCUACGGGAAGGAACAAGUCCAAUGCAGUGUUUUUUGUUUAGAAAAUGAAGCAGAUUCUCAUACCUGUGACUGUUGCUCUAUUAACCACAAUUUUCCAAGAAGGUUCUGAGCCUUUGAACAAGACUUCCAUUCCAUCAUAGGAGCUUGGAUAAUUAUAAAAGACUAGUGAGAAUGUACCCACUUGAGGAUAAACAGAGUGGCAGGGAUUGACAAUACACAGACAGAAGAAAAGCAUCUCUCAAACAUGUCCCAUUUAAAACAGGCUCAAUACAUGUUCAUCUGCACUGACUGAAUUUUGAGGGGGGAGGUUAUUUUACAAGGCAACAUAUUGCUUAGUUGCCUUGUUUUCAUACCAAUAGCCAUUUUAUUCCUCUCUGAUACAUACUUUAUGUUGUUUAAUUGCUGAGCUGUGUCCAACUCUUUGCAACCCCAUGGACUGCAGCAUGCCAGAAUUUUCUGUCCUUCACUAUCUCCCAGUUUGCUCAAACUCAUGUCCAUUGAGUCGAUGAGGUCAUCCAAUCAUCUCAUUCCCUGUUUUCCCCUUCGAUGCCUAUCCUCAAUCUUUCCCAGCAUUAAGAUCUUUUCCAAUGAGUCAGCUCUUCACAUCAGGUGGCCAAAGUAUUGGAGCUUCAACUUCAGCAUCAGUCCUUCCAAUGAAUAUUCAGGGCUGAUUUCCUUUAGGGUUGACUGGUUUGAUCUUUUUGCUGUCCAAGGGACUCUGUAAUCAGAUCCUAACUCUUUCCGGCCACAGAAAAGUAUGAAAUGAGCCUAUGGAAAAUAUAUUGGUGUUUCUAUUCCUAGUAUAACAAAUUACUACAAACGUAGUAGACUAAAAUAAUAUAUAAACCUCUUAUUUUAUAGUUUUGUAGCUCACAAUUCUGAAAGGUAUCUCACUGAGUUUCAUGAUACAGGAUGCUCGGGCCUGGUGCACUGGGAUGACCCAGAGGGAUGGUAUGGGGAUUGAGGUGGGAGGGGGGUUCAGGAUAGGGAACAUGUGUACACCCGUGGCAGAUUCAUGUUGAUGUAUGGCAAAACCAAUACAAUAUCAUAAUUAGCCUCCAAUUAAAAUAAAUAGAUUUAUAUUAAAAAACAAAGACAACAUGUUGGCAGGGGUGAGUUUCUUUCUGGAUACUUUCUGGAAGAAUCAAUUUCCUUUCCCACUUCCCAUAGCACUCUUAUGUCUUUGAAGCCAGCAAAAGUUGACUGAUUCUCAUAAUAUAUCACAGAGUCACCAACAUGUACCAUGCUGUCCCUUGUCUUGCACAUCUGAGCCCCUACCUGGAUAAUCUAGGAAAAUCUCUAUUUCAAGGUCAAUUGACUAAUGACCUUUAUUCCUCCCUUUGCUGUGUAAUUUAACAUAUUCAUUGGGCAAGAAUGAUACAAAAGUUUGUAAAAGUUCCAUAAAAAAUAUUGUAUAGAAUUAAAGUGCAUGAUGAUUUGAUAUACACAUGCAUAGUGAAAUGAUUACCACAAUAAAGUUGAUUAACAU